AUGCCGGCUAGUCUUUACAAGGUGCUCAUAGGGGUAUGGUCUGCGUGUAUGUUUGUAGAGAUGAGUGUAUGCCCGUAUAUAUGCGCCUGCGUCUCUGUACUGUGUUCUAAAACAAAAAGAAUAUGUGUUGUGCAUCCAGGUUUGGUAAUUGGUAUUCCUCAAGCAGUAAUCAGGACGAGUCUAAUAGAAAAAGAUGGCAUCGAGAUUAAUUUCCUAAAUAAUUACCAGGACGUAGAGGGUGCAGGCGAGGAUGAUGGACCAGUAGCGCCCCAGCCAGGAGUCGGCGACGAAGGCGCCCAGCAGCGGCAUGAGCCUGGCCGUCCCCGUCCAGACGUUCACCGCGGCGGCCGCCUCCGCGUUGGAGUGGCCGAGCGGCCCUGUCAUGUACGUGAUCAAGUUCGCCGACACGCCGUAGUAGACGAAACUGCCGGCGCCCUCCACCACUGCGUACGCGGAUAUGCAGUGCAUACCGGCGACGAAGAUGGCGGAGCGCCACCCGCCGGAGGUGGCGCGGUAGACGGGGCGGCCGCGGAAGUCGGAGACCCCGGCCAGUGGCUCCUCCUUGCCCUCGAGAAAGGGAGCCUCGGCGUCCACCACUGCCAUUUCCUAGCUUGA
rnacentral:rRNA from 1 species